UCUGCUUAUGCAAGACUCACCUCUUCCCUUUCCGAACAGAGAAGUUAAGCUUGUCUGCGCUAUAUGAUAUCACAGAUCGGAGUUUUUCUGAGUAAAGGAAAAUAAUUUUAGUUGUGUA
rnacentral:rRNA from 1 species